GUCUCUGAUAGCUCAACUGAUGGUAAAGCCUUUGGCACGUAACUAAAUAAUCCGGGUUCGAAUCCCGGUCUGGACU
rnacentral:tRNA from 1 species